rnacentral:rRNA from 1 species
GACGAACGCUGGCGGCGUGCUUAACACAUGCAAGUCGAACGGAAAGGCCCUGCUUUUGUGGGGUGCUCGAGUGGCGAACGGGUGAGUAACACGUGAGUAACCUGCCCUUGACUUUGGGAUAACUUCAGGAAACUGGGGCUAAUACCGGAUAGGAGCUCCUGCUGCAUGGUGGGGGUUGGAAAGUUUCGGCGGUUGGGGAUGGACUCGCGGCUUAUCAGCUUGUUGGUGGGGUAGUGGCUUACCAAGGCUUUGACGGGUAGCCGGCCUGAGAGGGUGACCGGCCACAUUGGGACUGAGAGACGGCCCAGACUCCUACGGGAGGCAGCAGUGGGGAAUAUGGCACAAUGGGCGGAAGCCUGAGGCAGAAACGCCGCGUGCGGGAUGACGGCCUUCGGGUUGUAAACCGCUUUCGCCUGUGACGAAGCGUGAGUGACGGUAAUGGGUAAAGAAGCACCGGCUAACUACGUG